CAGAGAAGCAACAGUAGAACAAAAAGAAAAGCCUCUACUCUCUAAAAAAAAAAUAAGUUCUGGCCAUAUCAUGAAAAUUCAUACUAAAAAGGAUCAAUCGAUCCCACAGUCAGCCAUAACAGGAUCUAGAGCUUUCUAAAGGAUGUGAAGAGCCUAACAACACAAUGACAAGAGUCAACAAGGGUUAAUCCAGGUCCGGACAAGGACAUUCGAUUGGGGACAGAAAACGGGUGAGAUCGAUCGAAUCUUUGUACAUCGCUGCAGAAUAGGUCAGUGCUAUAUAAAUAGCAGGUAGAAAUCCAAUGAGUAACCAAACAUGCUGCCUUCUGGUCCACUGUACACCGCCGGCUGCUCCACAUCCAAAUUAAAUCCAUGAAUAGAGAAGAAAGUAAGAAGGAGGCAGGCUGACAGCAAGACACAAGUCUCCU